UGGAGUCUGCAACUCGACUCCAUGAAGUCGGAAUCGCUAGUAAUCGUGGAUCAGAAUGCCACGGUGAAUACGUUCCCGGGCCUUGUACACACCGCCCGUCACACCAUGGGAGUGGGUUGCAAAAGAAGUAGGUAGCUUAACCUUCGGGAGGGCGCUUACCACUUUGUGAUUCAUGACUGGGGUGAAGUCGUAACAAGGUAACCGUAGGGGAACCUGCGGUUGGAUCACCUCCUUACCUUAAAGAAGC
rnacentral:rRNA from 4 species